GCUUGUAGAGCUUUCCCAUGGCCAAGAAGAAGAUGAUCCGUAAACAUCAGCAAGUUCGUCAAAAGUAAGUGGCUAAAAGGAUAUGUUCUCACAACCAACACAUACAAGGACAAGAGAUACAAUGAAAGAAGUCAAAACCCAAAAACUAAAAGCACAAAGCCGGUUUCUCCUCUCCAAAUUACAUUAGUUUAAUCCCUGUUGUCUUUUGACUGAAGCUCCUGCUGAUUCAUGGAGAUCCAUUAUUUUCACCAAGUGUUACUAGGAAGUAAUAGUAACCAUAUCCAGAGCACAUUAUCAAGAUUCA
rnacentral:misc_RNA from 1 species